GACGAACGCUGGCGGCGUGCUUAACACAUGCAAGUCGUACGGUAAGGCCCUUUCGGGGGUCCACGAGUGGCGAACGGGUGAGUAACACGUGAGUAACCUGCCCACAACUUUGGGAUAACGCUAGGAAACUGGUGCUAAUACUGGAUAUGUGCUCCUGCUGCAUGGUGGGGGUUGGAAAGCUCCGGCGGUUGUGGAUGGACUCGCGGCCUAUCAGCUUGUUGGUGGGGUAGUGGCCUACCAAGGCGGCGACGGGUAGCCGGCCUGGGAGGGUGACCGGCCACAUUGGGACUGAGAUACGGCCCAGACUCCUACGGGAGGCAGCAGUGGGGAAUAUUGCACAAUGGGCGCAAGCCUGAUGCAGCAACGCCGCGUGCGGGAUGACGGCCUUCGGGUUGUAAACCGCUUUCAGCAGGGACGAAGCUUUUUGUGACGGUACCUGCAGAAGAAGCACCGGCUAACUACGUG
rnacentral:rRNA from 1 species